UCCUCCAUAGCUCAGUGGUAGAGCGUCCAACCGGCACCUGGAAGGUCAUGGAUUAGAUUCCCGUUGGGGAGCUCAGAA
rnacentral:tRNA from 1 species